UCCUGUUUAACAAAUCAGUGACAGCUCUCCCCCUUAGAUCUCCCAUUCCAGAUCUUUAAUCCCUUUCCAUUAGCAUAUUGGACCCAGAGGAUCCCUUGUUGUGAAAUAAGCUACCGACCUAAAUCCACCAUAUGUCCCCAAUUUUUCUAGGACAACCCCAAUUUAAAAUAUUCCAUCCCAUUGUCUUAUCAGCCAAGUGUCUCAAUUUUUGGUUUAGAAAAUAGUGUCAUUUUAACCGUAUCAGGCCCUGCUGUCCUGGCCUUUUCCAGCUAUUUGACUCUGGGGCAUAACUGGGUAAUCCAAUUACCAUUCACCUGGGAUUUUCUUUUUAUUCCUCACCCCCACCCCCAGUCAACCCAAACGUUGGAACU
rnacentral:lncRNA from 1 species